UCUUGCAACUCAUCGAUUUCUCCCCCUGCAUCUGCCAACAACUGGUUCUCACCAGUGCUGAACUAUAUAAGAUUGAAAUGGGUCCAGAAGAACUAUAUGAUCUACAACUACUGCACCGACAUCAAACGCUUUCCUCAGGGCCUUCCUCCCGAAUUGGAUGCAUCUUCAAAACUCUCCAACACUGUUGUGGUGCAAGGAUCCCAUCAGCAUCAUAGGAGGUGUCUACAAUAAAAAGUAGUUACUGGUGGCAUGACUUGGCCCCACGUCUUUCCUUAUGAUCUUGACUUUGUGAUUGCAGUGGGUGUAUCUUCAAAAUCAUGAUCCGACUAUAAAACUCUCCUAAAUGACAAAUAAGUCCAUCUCUUUAUAUUCCAAGUUUAUCUUUACCACAAUAGAUCUGACAUUGGAUCUUC